rnacentral:rRNA from 1 species
CACGUAGGGCGCAAGCGUUGUCCGGAAUUAUUGGGCGUAAAGAGCUCGUAGGCGGUCUGUCACGUCGGCUGUGAAAACCCGAGGCUCAACCUCGGGCCUGCAGUCGAUACGGGCAAACUAGAGUGUUGCAGGGGAGACUGGAAUUCCUGGUGUAGCGGUGAAAUGCGCAGAUAUCAGGAGGAACACCGGUGGCGAAGGCGGGUCUCUGGGCAACAACUGACGCUGAGGAGCGAAAACGUGGGGAGCGAACAGG